rnacentral:tRNA from 1 species
UGUCCAGGGAUGGGAAUCGAACCCACAGUGUUCCGCUUACCGAGCAGAUGCCAUGUCUACUAGGCUAUCCUGGAC